CUUGUGUGCGUUAUUUACAUUGUACUUAGAGCUGUCCACUUGUGAUCCGAUCACCCAGGACGCAUGUUGAUACCGGGUCUGAACAGGGCCUAU